rnacentral:tRNA from 1 species
AUGUGGUUGCUCAGUGGUAGAGCAUUUGCCUGGCACAUGAGAGGCACUGGGUUUGAUCCUCAGCACCACAUA